rnacentral:rRNA from 1 species
UACGUAGGGGGCUAGCGUUGUCCGGAAUCAUUGGGCGUAAAGCGCGUGUAGGCGGUUCGGUAAGUCCGCUGUGAAAGUCGGGGGCUCAACCCUCGGAUGCCGGUGGAUACUGUCGGACUAGAGUACGGAAGAGGCGAGUGGAAUUCCUGGUGUAGCGGUGAAAUGCGCAGAGAUCAGGAAGAAUAUCCGUGGCGAAGGCGGCUCUCUGGUAACGGCACUGACGCUGAGACGCGAAAGCGUGGGGAGCAAACAGG